rnacentral:rRNA from 1 species
AAAAGCGGAGGAAAAGAAACCAACAGGGAUUGCCUCAGUAACGGCGAGUGAAGCGGCAAAAGCUCAAAUUUGAAAUCCCCCCGGGGAGUUGUAAUUUGAAGAUUGCGUCUUGGAGGCGACCGUGUCUAUGUUCCUUGGAACAGGACGUCACAGAGGGUGAGAAUCCCGUGCGGCACGGCCCCCGGCUCCUUAUAAGGCGCUCUCGACGAGUCGAGUUGUUUGGGAAUGCAGCUCAAAGUGGGUGGUAAAUUCCAUCUAAAGCUAAAUACAGGCGAGAGACCGAUAGCGAACAAGUACAGUGAUGGAAAGAUGAAAAGCACUUUGAAAAGAGAGUGAAACAGCACGUGAAAUUGUUGAAAGGGAAGGGCAUGCCGUCAGAUUGUCAGUGUGGGUAAGAAGCGGGGUACAAAGACUGUGGAACGUGGCCCUCGGGUGUUAUAGCCGCAGUUCAUGCCCCGUCUCUUUCCGAGGCCUGCUUUGAGGACACCGACGUAAUGACGGUACGCCGCCCGUCUUGA